rnacentral:lncRNA from 1 species
ACGCUGUAAGAAGUGCCUUUCACCUCCCACCGUGAUUCUAAGGCCCUCCCAGCCAUGUGGAACUGUAAGUCCAGUUAAACCUCUUUUUUUUUUCCAGUCUCAGUUAUGUUUUUAUCAGCAGUGUGAAGAUGGACUAAUACAGUAAAUUGGUACCAGUAGAGUGGUGUGUUGCUGAAAAGAUACCUGAAAAGGUAGAAUCAACAUUGGAACUGGGUAACAGGCAGAGGUUGGAACAGUUUGGAGGGCUCAGAAGAAGACAGGAAAAUGUGGGAAAGUUUGGAGCUUCCUAGAGACUUGUUGAAUGGCUUUGCCCAACAUGCUGACAUGUUGACAAUAAUGACAGCUGACAAUAAUGUCCAUGCUGAGGUGGUCUCAGAUGGAGAUGAGAAACUUGUUGGGAACUGGAGUAAAAGUGACUCUUGUUACGUUUUAGCAAAGAGACUGGUGGCAUCGUGCCCCUGCCCUAGAGAUUUGUGGAACUUUGAACUUGAGAAAGAUGAUUUAGGAUACCUGGUGGAAGAAAUUUCUAAGCAGCAAAGCAUUCAAUAAGUGACUUGGGUACUGUUAAAGUUUUAUAAGGGAAGCAGAUCAUAAAAGUUUGGAAAAUUUGCAGGUUGACUAUGUGAUAGAAAAGAAAAAACCAUCUUCUGGGGAGAAAUUCAAGCUGGUGUCAGAAAUUUGCAUAAGUAGCAAGGAGCCUAAUGUUAAUCCCCGAGACCAUGGGGAAAAUGUCUCCAGGCCAUGUCAGAGACCUUCAUGGCAGCCCCUUCCACCAUAGGCCUGGAGGCCCAGGAGAAAAAAGUGGUUUUGUGGGCCAGGCCCAGGGUCUCCGUGCUGUGUGCAGCCCAGGGACUUGGUGCCCUGUGUCCCAGUCACUCCAGCCAUGAUUGAAAGGGGCCAACAUACAGCUCAGGCUGUGGCUUCAGAGGGUGGAAGCCCCAAGCCUUGGCAGCUUCCAUGUGGUGUUGAGCCUAUAGGUGCACAGAAAUCAAGAAUUGAGGUUUGGUAACCUCCACCUAGAUUUCAGAUGUAUGAAAACGCCUGGAUGCCCAGGCAAAAGUUUGCUGCACAGGCAGGGGCUUCAUGGAAUACCUCUGCUAGGGCAGAGCAGAAGGGAAAUGUGGAGUUUAGAGCCCCCACACAGAGUCCCUAAUGGAGCACUGCCUAGUGGAGCUGUGAGAAGAGGGCCACCGUCCUCCAGAUCCCAGGAUGGUAGAUCCACUGACAGCUUGCACCAUGCACCUGGAAAAGCCGCAGACACUCAAUGCCAGCCUGUGAAAACAGCUGGGAGGGAGGCUGUACCCUGCAAAGCCACCGGGGCAGAGCUGCCCAAGACCAUGGGAACCCACCUCUUCCAUCAGCAUGACCUGAAUGUGAGACCUGGAGUCAAAGGAUAUCAUUUUGGAACUUUAAAAUUUGACUGCUCCACUGGAUUUCGGACUUGCAUGGGCCCUGUAACCCCUUUGUUUUGGCUAAUUUCUCCCAUUUGGAAUGGCUGUAUUUACCCAAUACCUGUACCCCCAUUUUAUCUAGGAAGUAACUAGCUUGCUUUCGGUUUUACAGGCUCAUAAGCAGAAGGGACUUGCCUCGUCUCAGAUGAGACUUUGGACUGUGGACUUUUGGGUUAAUUCUGAAAUGAGUUAAGACUUUGGGGGACUGUUGGGAAGGCAUGAUUAGUUUUGAAAUGUGAGGACAUGAGAUUUGGAGGGGCUAGGGGUGGAAUGACAUGUUUUGGCUGUGUCCCCACCCAAAUCUCAACUUGAAUUGUAUCUUCCAAAAUUCACACCUGUUUUGGGAGGGACCCAGGGGGAAGUAAUUGAAUCAUGCUGGCUGGUCUUUCCCAUGCUAUUCUCGUGAUGGUGAAUAAGUCUCAUGAGAUGUGAUGGGUUUAUCAGGGGUUUCUGCUUUUGCUUCCUCCUCGUUUUCUUUGGCUGCCACCAUGUAAGAAGUGCCUUUCACCUCCCACCAUGAUUCUGAGGCCUCCCUAGCCAUGUGAAACUGUAAGUUCAAUUAAAUCUCUUUUUCUUCCCAGUCUCAGGUAUAUGUUUAUCAGCAGCGUGAAAAUGGACUAAUACAGCCCCCUCACCCCGAGUUGUCUCAUGUUUCCCAAGUUGUCUCACAUUUUCAGGGCAUGUUUCUGGACUGAACCACCAUCUUUCAUGUACUGAUGUCUUACAUCCACCUAAAAUGUAUGAUACCAAACUAUAUGUAGCCCGACCACCUUGGGCACAUGUUCUCAGGAUCACCUGGGGUUGUGUCACAGCCCAUGACCACUCAUAUUUGGCUCAAAAUAAAUGUCUUCAACUAUUUUAUAGAGUUUGACUCUUUUUGUUGACAUAUCUUACUGGAAACCAAUUUCUGUCAUUCUAAAUUUGGAGAUGGUAGAUCUUAUCCAGUUUUUUCACUCCAAAUUAUCCAGC